rnacentral:rRNA from 1 species
UACGUAGGGGGCGAGCGUUGUCCGGAAUUAUUGGGCGUAAAGAGCGUGUAGGCGGUUCGGUAAGUCUGCCGUGAAAUCCUGGGGCUCAACCCCGGGCGUGCGGUGGAUACUGCCGGGCUAGAGGGUGGUAGAGGCGAGUGGAAUUCCCGGUGUAGCGGUGAAAUGCGCAGAUAUCGGGAGGAACACCAGUAGCGAAGGCGAGUCCCUGGACAACACCUGACACUGAGGCACGAAAGCUAGGGGAGCGAAACAGG